GACGAACGCUGGCGGCGUGCUUAACACAUGCAAGUCGAACGGUGAAGGGGUCUGCUUUUGUGGGCCCUGGAUGAGUGGCGAACGGGUGAGUAACACGUGAGUAACCUGCCCCCUUCUUCUGGAUAACCGCAUGAAAGUGUGGCUAAUACGGGAUAUUCUGGGUCUGUCGCAUGAUGGGUCUGGGAAAGAUUGCGCCUUUGGGUGUUUUUGGUGGGGGAUGGGCUCGCGGCCUAUCAGCUUGUUGGUGGGGUGAUGGCCUACCAAGGCGGUGACGGGUAGCCGGGCGGAGAGGGUGGACGGUCACACUGGGACUGAGACACGGCCCAGACUCCUACGGGAGGCAGCAGUGGGGAAUAUUGCACAAUGGGCGCAAGCCUGAUGCAGCGACGCCGCGUGAGGGAUGGAGGCCUUCGGGUUGUAAACCUCUUUCGCCAGUGAAGCAGGCCUGCUCCGUGUGGGUGGGUUGACGGUAGCUGGAGAAGAAGCGCCGGCUAACUACGUG
rnacentral:rRNA from 1 species